AUCCAGUGAUAAAUAAUGUCUAUGGAACUCAGCGGAAUACGAAUACACCUGUUAAAAAGAGGUUAAUAACUAAGACUGGAGUCAUGAUGUUUAUGGACACACUACAAAAUGAAACAUGGGAUAUGACCCUUAGUAGUGUGGAGGUAGAUGCAAGUUUUAAUGCAUUCUUAAACACAUUUAUAGUCAUUUUUGAAUCAUGCUUCCCCAUGCAAUUUGUGAUGGAUAUGGGGCAUAAAAAUCAGUGGAUAACUGGUGGAAUAAAAGUGUUGUGUAGAUGUAAAAGAUACCUCUACAUAAUAAGUAGAGUAACUCAUCAUAUUAAAAUAAGAGAAUAUUACUCCUGUUACUGUUCCAUAUUAAGAAGAGUCAUUAGAAAAGCUAAAGAGAUGUACUACAAUGAAAUGUUAAUGAAAUCCACAAAUAAAUCUGAAAUGUCUUGGAAAAUUAUAAAUAAUGAAAUUGGUUGUGUAGCUAAAAGAAAAGCUGCUCCGGCAGACUUCAAAAAUGGUGAAAUCAAAAUUGAAAUUAAUAAAGCAGCUGGGUUUUUUAAUACCUAUUUUAUAGAUUCAGUGGAGAAAUUAAUUAGUCAGUAUCCAAAAACUGAGGAUGAGUGGUCAGCAACAAUAAGUAGUCUUACCGAUAAAUUUCCUGAAAUAGUUAAUAUUCCAAUUACAUCAUCAGAAAUUUCUGGCGUAAUUUCAUUACUAAAGAAUAAGGGUUCCUGCGGAUAUGAUGGUAUAUCAAACAAAUUCAUAAGACUGUGUAGUAAACAAAUAACCAAACCACUUAUGCAUAUUUUUAAUCUAUCCCUAACCACUGGAAUUUAUCCAGAUCGGUUAAAAUAUGCCAAUAUUAUACCAUGCUUUAAGAAAGGUAGUAUUACAGAAAUAUCUAACUACCGGCCCAUUUCCUUGUUGACAGGGUUUUCCAAAAUAUUCGAGAUACCAAUAUGUAACUGAGUAAUACAGCAUUUAACAAACAAUAAUGUUAUUGUAGAUAAUCAGUUUGGUUUCAGAAAGGGUGUGUCGACUCAAAAAGCUAUUUUUACGGUUACUGAUUAUAUUUAUAAAGCAUGGAACAAUAAGGAGAUGGUUGUGGGGAUUUUUUGUGACCUCACUAAGGCAUUUGACUGUGUCAAUCAUGACCUGCUUGUCCAAAGAUUUAAACACUAUGGAAUAAAAGGAUCUCUACUUAAGAGUGCAUGAAACAUACCUGUAUAACAGGAAGCAAAGACUCAUACUACAGACUCAAGACUCAAUUUCAUAUGUUUCUAAGUGGAAAACUAGAAACGUGGAGUUCCACAGGGAUCUAUACUGGGACCUUUGUUGUUCAUUGUAUAUAUUAAUGAUCUGCCUAGAAUUCUAAAUGGGUUGACACAUACGGUUCUAUAUGCAGACGACACCACUUUUAUUGUCUCUUCACAGGAUAUUAGUAGCCUUAAUAACAAAAUUAAUUUAGUAAAUGAGACAUUUAUAUAGAUGGUUCCAAGCUAACCAAUUAAUACUACAUUAAAAAAAAACCAUGUAAUGAAAUUUAUGACCCCUAAAGCCACAGACUAUCCAUUACAUAUAAUAUAUAAUGAUCAAACACUUAAAUUUUCUGUAAAUGUUAAGUUUUUAGGUGUGUGCCCGGACAAUCAUUUGGGCUGGG